AUUGAACGCUGGCGGCAUGCCUUACACAUGCAAGUCGAACGGCAGCACGGGUGCUUGCACCUGGUGGCGAGUGGCGAACGGGUGAGUAAUACAUCGGAACGUACCUUAUCGUGGGGGAUAACGCAGCGAAGCUGUGCUAAUACCGCAUACGCCCUGAGGGGGAAAGCGGGGGAUCGCAAGACCUCGCGCGAUUAGAGCGGCCGAUGCCUGAUUAGCUAGUUGGUGGGGUAAAAGCCCACCAAGGCGACGAUCAGUAGCUGGUCUAAGAGGACGAUCAGCCACGCUGGGAAUGAGACACGGGCCAGACUCCUGGGGGAGGCAGGAGUGGGGAAUUUUGGAGAAUGGGGGCAACGCUGAUCCAGCAAUGCCGCGUGAGUGAAGAAGGCCUUCGGGUUGUAAAGCUCUUUUGUCAGGGAAGAAACACCGGCUCUAACACAGUCCGGGAAUGACGGUACCUGAAGAAUAAGCACCGGCUAACUACGUGCCAGCCGCCGCCGUAA
rnacentral:rRNA from 1 species